ACCUUGACUGACAAGAAAGAAGAGAUUAAAUGGACCCUUACUAAAAAUGGAAUUUACUCUGCUAAAUCGUUUUAUAGACAUCUAAUUGAGAAUGGGAUCAAAUACCCUCAUCACUUUAUGUGAAAAAUUAAGAUGCCACCUAGAGUGAAUGUCUUUAUGUGGCUAGCCCCGAGAAAAAGCAUCCUUACAAAAGACAACCUGUUGCGUAGGGGGUGGAAUGGAGACAAAAAAUGUCCCUUCUGUGGACAUGAAGAAAGUAUUGAUCAUCUUUUUCUUACGUGUUCAGUAGCCCGUCUGUUGCGGAAUGCUCUGAAGGGUGCAUUCAACCUGGCACACAUUCCAGCAACCCUAGAUUCCUUGAUGAGGGUCUGGGCAAAAAAAAAAUUGGAAAGGAAGAAAGGGGUCUGGUGA
rnacentral:rRNA from 1 species